UUUUUUUGAUUCAGAAUUAAUGAUAUAGUUAAAUAGUAUAGAAGUUUUGAUAAAAUUAUUUUUAACUUUUUAGAAAUAUUCAAAAGAUGUUAAUAAUUGAAGUUAACUAAUUGAAAUAAGUACAUAAUGGAUAAUAUUUAGGAAUAAUGUGUUUGAUAGUAAGUAUAGUAGAAACUAAAAAAUUUGGACUUGUUAUAUCAAAA
rnacentral:lncRNA from 1 species